UUCAAAUUCCCUCCUCCAAUUUUCAGUUUCCCCCAUAAAAAUUAAAAGAAGCUUUAUUAGACGCAGCAGCUCUCAGAUUCUUCUUCUCCCAAAAACUUCAAGAGUCCAGACCAUCGUUCCUUUUGACCCAAUUUCUCCUCCCCAGCACCGCUAUUAUGACGGCGACCUAGAGGGAGGACGCCGUGCGAUGUAGCACCGCCUUCACCGAUUACCGUAAGAGGUCACUCCAGCACUAGGAGCUCGACUCUAGAGUCCACGCAGUGGGUUUCUUGGCUGUCGCAGUAAAGUGGACAAAGAAAAACCAACAGCAGGCGCUCGAGUUGUUUUGGAUAUGACUAUCUGACUAUCGUGAGGGCUCUUCCAAGAGAGGUUGACGCAGUAGUGUAUAAUAUAUUUCAUGAAGAUCCAAGUAAUGUUAGCUACUCUGCUGUGGGAGGGCUAGGAGAUCAGAUCCGAGAGCUUAGGGAAUCUAUUGAUUGGCUGGGUCAUUGCCACUAAACCCUCCAAUCCUCCAUAUAGUAGAUUGGCUGGGUCAGAUCUGGCACUUAUAAGCGAGGU